CACUGGACUGACUGUAAGUCGCUCUGGAUAAGAGCAUCUGCUAAAUGACUGAAA
rfam:Salmo salar isolate Sally breed double haploid chromosome ssa19, whole genome shotgun sequence.